AGUCAUAUGCUUGUCUCAAAGAUUAAGCCAUGCAUGUCUGAGUAUAAGCAAUUAUACAGCGAAACUGCGAAUGGCUCAUUAUAUAAGUUAUCGUUUAUUUGAUAGUACCUUACUACUUGGAUAACCGUGGUAAUUCUAGAGCUAAUACAUGCUGAAAAUCCCGACUUCGGAAGGGAUGUAUUUAUUAGAUUAAAAACCAAUGCCCUUCUGGGCUCUCUGGUGAUUCAUGAUAACUUCUCGAAUCGCACGGCCUCGCGCCGGCGAUGGUUCAUUCAAAUUUCUUCCCUAUCAACUUUCGAUGUUUGGGUAGUGGCCAAACAUGGUUGCAACGGGUAACGGAGGGUUAGGGCUCGACCCCGGAGAAGGAGCCUGAGAAACGGCUACUACAUCCAAGGAAGGCAGCAGGCGCGCAAAUUACCCAAUCCCGACACGGGGAGGUAGUGACAAUAAAUACUGAUACAGGGCUCUUUCGGGUCUUGUAAUUGGAAUGAGUACAAUUUAAAUCCCUUAACGAGGAACAAUUGGAGGGCAAGUCUGGUGCCAGCAGCCGCGGUAAUUCCAGCUCCAAUAGCGUAUAUUAAAGUUGUUGUGGUUAAAAAGCUCGUAGUUGAACCUUGGGCCUGGCUGGCCGGUCCGCCUCACCGCGUGUACUGGUCCGGCCGGGCCUUUCCCUCUGUGGAACCCCAUGCCCUUCACUGGGCGUGGCGGGGAAACAGGACGUUUACUUUGAAAAAAUUAGAGUGCUCCAGGCAGGCCUAUGCUCGAAUACAUUAGCAUGGAAUAAUGAAAUAGGACGCGCGGUUCUAUUUUGUUGGUUUCUAGGACCGCCGUAAUGAUUAAUAGGGACAGUCGGGGGCAUCAGUAUUCAAUUGUCAGAGGUGAAAUUCUUGGAUUUAUUGAAGACUAACUACUGCGAAAGCAUUUGCCAAGGAUGUUUUCAUUAAUCAGGAACGAAAGUUAGGGGAUCGAAGACGAUCAGAUACCGUCGUAGUCUUAACCAUAAACUAUGCCGACUAGGGAUCGGACGAUGUUAUUUUUUGACUCGUUCGGCACCUUACGAGAAAUCAAAGUGCUUGGGCUCCAGGGGGAGUAUGGUCGCAAGGCUGAAA
rnacentral:rRNA from 1 species